AGGGCGCCCCUGAAACAGCGAGCCGGGAGCUCCAGGCGGCCGGCCUUUCCUUCGUCUCCCCAGUCCCCUUCUUCCCAACCCGUAGGCGCUGGCAGGUCCGAGAGCAGUCCCUAGGUUUUGCUAGACAGCCCCAAUGAAAGGCACUCAAGGGACCAAGGAGACGCCAUCCUAGGAUUCCUCAAGCACAGAUGUUCCAACUCCGGGAUUCUAGAAUUCUGACUCUUAGGGAUUCGUAUCUGCCUAUCAACCUAUAUCAAAGGAUUCGAAAGGAGAGCAUGUCACCUAACUUCUCUGAGCAGCAGAUUCCUUGAUGAUAAAAUGAGGACUCAUUUGAAACCACAUAGCUCUUCCCAAAAGAACCUUCUAAAUCUGUGCCUGUAACUCGGAGUCCUGGACAGGCCAUUCCUAUCAAGUCGGCCGAGCCUCCGAGCUGCACCUGCUGUUCCCUCUGCAUGGGAUGCCCCCUCCCCACUCUCCACCCUACAAAAUCUUUCCCUCUACAAAGUCCAGCUGAAACACACUUCCUUCAAGAAGCCAUCCUGUCAUCCAGCAACAGCAGAAUAUGCAUUCUUCUCAAGUGCACAUGGAUCUUUCUCCAUGAAAGGCCAUAUGUUAGGCCACAAAACAAGUCUCAGUAUGUUGAACAAGAUUGAAAUCAUACAAAGUGUCAUCUCCAACCACAGUGGAAUGAAGCUAGGAAUCAAUAACAAAAGGAAAACUGGAAAAUUCACCAGUAUGUGGAAACUAAUGCACGCAAAGGCCACCAAUGGGCCAAAGAAGAAAUUGCAAGGGAAAUUAGGAAAUACCUUGAGAUGAAUGAAAAUAGAAACACAACAUACAGAAACUAAUGGGAUGCAGCAAAGGCAGCGCACAGAGGGAAAUUUAUAGCCAUAAAUGCUCACAUUAAAAAAAGUCCCUCAGAAUCCCUCCCAGGCCAGCAGAAGUGGCUCCAGGCCCCUCAGCAGGUGUGUAUGUGCACAUCUUCCUUCCCCAGCCACUGCUUGCCUCCUCCCCCUACAGCAGUGGUUGCUUUGGGAAGGCUUGCUCAAAAUGCAGAUUCCUAGACAGCAUCCUCGGAGCUCAUGCGUCUACAGGCCACCUUGGCCACCAAUCCAAAGAU